rnacentral:rRNA from 1 species
UACGUAGGGGGCUAGCGUUGUCCGGAAUCAUUGGGCGUAAAGAGCGCGUAGGCGGCCAGAUAAGUCCGGUGUGAAAGUCAAAGGCUCAACCUUUGAAUGCCGCUGGAAACUGUCUGGCUAGAGUCCGGGAGGGGCGAGUGGAAUUCCUGGUGUAGCGGUGAAAUGCGCAGAUAUCAGGAGGAACACCGGUGGCGAAGGCGGCUACCUGGACAGAAACUGACGCUGAGGCGCGAAAGCUAGGGGAGCAAACAGG